rnacentral:rRNA from 1 species
AUACGUAGGGGGCGAGCGUUGUCCGGAAUGAUUGGGCGUAAAGGGCGCGUAGGCGGCCCGGUAAGUCUGGAGUGAAAGUCCUGUUUUUAAGAUGGGAAUUGCUUUGGAUACUGUCGGGCUUGAGUGCAGGAGAGGUAAGUGGAAUUCCCAGUGUAGCGGUGAAAUGCGUAGAGAUUGGGGGGAACACCAGUGGCGAAGGCGACUUACACGACUAGAACUGGAGCUGACGCUCGAAAGGGUGCGGACAAAACAGGAUUUGAUACAAUGGUAGGCCACGCUGUAAACGAUGAUUGCUCGGUGGAGGUAAUAACAAGCCCGUCUGUGCCGCAGGCAAAACAAUAAGCAUUACGGCUUGGGAGUACGGCAGCAAGGCUGAAGCUCAAAGGAAUUAACGGGG